GACGAACGCUGGCGGCGUGCUUAACACAUGCAAGUCGAACGGUGAAGGGGCCUGCUUUUGUGGGCCCUGGAUGAGUGGCGAACGGGUGAGUAACACGUGAGUAACCUGCCCCCUUCUUCUGGAUAACCGCAUGAAAGUGUUGCUAAUACGGGAUAUUCUGGGUCUGUCGCAUGAUGGGUCUGGGAAAGAUUGCGCCUUUGGGUGUUUUUGGUGGGGGAUGGGCUCGCGGCCUAUCAGCUUGUUGGUGGGGUGAUGGCCUACCAAGGCGGUGACGGGUAGCCGGCCUGAGAGGGUGGACGGUCACACUGGGACUGAGACACGGCCCAGACUCCUACGGGAGGCAGCAGUGGGGAAUAUUGCACAAUGGGCGCAAGCCUGAUGCAGCGACGCCGCGUGAGGGAUGGAGGCCUUCGGGGUGUAAACCUCUUUCGCCAGUGAAGCAGGCCUGCUCCUUGUGGGUGGGUUGACGGUAGCUGGAUAAGAAGCGCCGGCUAACUACGUG
rnacentral:rRNA from 1 species